GACGUGCUAAUCUGCGAUAAGCGUCGGUAAGGUGAUAUGAACCGUUAUAACCGGCGAUUUCCGAAUGGGGAAACCCAGUGUGUUUCGACACACUAUCAUUAACUGAAUCCAUAGGUUAAUGAGGCGAACCGGGGGAACUGAAACAUCUAAGUACCCCGAGGAAAAGAAAUCAACCGAGAUUCCCCCAGUAGCGGCGAGCGAACGGGGAGCAGCCCAGAGCCUGAAUCAGUGUGUGUGUUAGUGGAAGCGUCUGGAAAGGCGCGCGAUACAGGGUGACAGCCCCGUACACAAAAAUGCACAUAUUGUGAGCUCGAUGAGUAGGGCGGGACACGUGGUAUCCUGUCUGAAUAUGGGGGGACCAUCCUCCAAGGCUAAAUACUCCUGACUGACCGAUAGUGAACCAGUACCGUGAGGGAAAGGCGAAAAGAACCCCGGCGAGGGGAGUGAAAAAGAACCUGAAACCGUGUACGUACAAGCAGUGGGAGCCUCUUUAUGGGGUGACUGCGUACCUUUUGUAUAAUGGGUCAGCGACUUAUAUUCUGUAGCAAGGUUAACCGAAUAGGGGAGCCGAAGGGAAACCGAGUCUUAACUGGGCGUUAAGUUGCAGGGUAUAGACCCGAAACCCGGUGAUCUAGCCAUGGGCAGGUUGAAGGUUGGGUAACACUAACUGGAGGACCGAACCGACUAAUGUUGAAAAAUUAGCGGAUGACUUGUGGCUGGGGGUGAAAGGCCAAUCAAACCGGGAGAUAGCUGGUUCUCCCCGAAAGCUAUUUAGGUAGCGCCUCGUGAACUCAUCUCGGGGGGUAGAGCACUGUUUCGGCAAGGGGGUCAUCCCGACUUACCAACCCGAUGCAAACUGCGAAUACCGGAGAAUGUUAUCACGGGAGACACACGGCGGGUGCUAACGUCCGUCGUGAAGAGGGAAACAACCCAGACCGCCAGCUAAGGUCCCAAAGUCAUGGUUAAGUGGGAAACGAUGUGGGAAGGCCCAGACAGCCAGGAUGUUGGCUUAGAAGCAGCCAUCAUUUAAAGAAAGCGUAAUAGCUCACUGGUCGAGUCGGCCUGCGCGGAAGAUGUAACGGGGCUAAACCAUGCACCGAAGCUGCGGCAGCGACACUAUGUGUUGUUGGGUAGGGGAGCGUUCUGUAAGCCUGUGAAGGUGUACUGUGAGGUAUGCUGGAGGUAUCAGAAGUGCGAAUGCUGACAUAAGUAACGAUAAAGCGGGUGAAAAGCCCGCUCGCCGGAAGACCAAGGGUUCCUGUCCAACGUUAAUCGGGGCAGGGUGAGUCGACCCCUAAGGCGAGGCCGAAAGGCGUAGUCGAUGGGAAACAGGUUAAUAUUCCUGUACUUGGUGUUACUGCGAAGGGGGGACGGAGAAGGCUAUGUUGGCCGGGCGACGGUUGUCCCGGUUUAAGCGUGUAGGCUGGUUUUCCAGGCAAAUCCGGAAAAUCAAGGCUGAGGUGUGAUGACGAGGCACUACGGUGCUGAAGCAACAAAUGCCCUGCUUCCAGGAAAAGCCUCUAAGCAUCAGGUAACAUCAAAUCGUACCCCAAACCGACACAGGUGGUCAGGUAGAGAAUACCAAGGCGCUUGAGAGAACUCGGGUGAAGGAACUAGGCAAAAUGGUGCCGUAACUUCGGGAGAAGGCACGCUGAUAUGUAGGUGAAGUCCCUCGCGGAUGGAGCUGAAAU
rnacentral:rRNA from 1 species